rnacentral:rRNA from 1 species
GGGGCUUAAGUCGUAACAAGGUAGCCGUAGGGGAAUCUGCGGCUGGAUCACCUCCUAC